AGCAGUGAGAGGACUAGAUAUUGAUGUACAUCCAACGAAGGAUGCCAUCAUUGUUCGUUUGGAAAGAGAAAUCCAUUUUCUGGAUGAAUGUGGGGCUGCUGUGAGAAGACAUGCUGAAGACAAAAUCAUUUGUGUGAUGAACCUCACCUCAAGCACUGAUACUGCAGCUUUGGCUUGCAAAAUUGUGGAUGCAUGCAAAUACUUAAACCAGUCCAAUGUGGCAGACAUAGAACAGCAACUUUAUUAUUUACAGAAGCGUAAGGGCAAACAGUUGAAUAAAGAAAUGAAUAAACCAGAGGACCCAACUCCUUUUGAAGAUGAGGUGGUAAGAAGCA